rnacentral:rRNA from 1 species
AAUUUUGGACAAUGGGGGAAACUCUGAUCCAGCCAUUCCGCGUGUAUGAUGAAGGCCUUCGGGUUGUAAAGUACUUUUGGCAGAGAAGAAAAGGUAUCCCCUAAUAUGGGAUACCGUAGAUGGUAUCAGCAGUUUAAGCACCGGCUAACGACGUUCUAACAGCCGCGGUAAUACGUAGGGUGCAAGCGUUAAUCGGAAUUACUGGGCGUAAAGCGUGUGUAGGCGGGUCGGAAAGGAAGAUGUGAAAUCCCAGGGCUCAACCUUAGAACUGCAUUUUUAACUGCCGAGCUAGAGUAUGUCAGAGGGGGGUAGAAUUCCACGUGUAGCAGUGAAAUGCGUAGAUAUGUGGAGGAAUACCGAUGGCGAAGGCAGCCCCCUGGGAUAAUACUGACGCUCAGACACGAAAGCGUGGGAAGCAAACAGG